UACGGAGGGAGCUAGCGUUGUUCGGAAAUACUGGGCGUAAAGCGCACGUAGGCGGCGCAGCAAGUCAGGGGUGAAAUCCCGGGGCUCAACCCCGGAACUGCCCUUGAAACUGCAGUGCUAGAAUUCUGGAGAGGCGAGUGGAAUUCCGAGUGUAGAGGUGAAAUUCGUAGAUAUGUGGAGGAAUACCGAUGGCGAAGGCAGCCCCCUGGGAUGACACUGACGCUCAUGCACGAAAGCGUGGGGAGCAAACAGG
rnacentral:rRNA from 1 species